GGAAGUAAACGUAACAAGGUCUCCGUAGGUGAACCUGCGGAGGAAUCAUUACAGAGUUCAUGCCCUACCGGGUAGAUCUCCCACCCUAUGUUAUUAUUACUUUGUUGCUUUGGCGGGCCGUUAGGCUCCGGCCCGACUACCGGCCCCGGCUGGUAAGCGCCCGCCAGAGGACCCAAAACCCUGAAUAUUAGUGUCGUCUGAGUACUAUAUAAUAGUUAAAACUUUCAACAACGGAUCUCUUGGUUCUG
rnacentral:misc_RNA from 1 species